rnacentral:misc_RNA from 1 species
UCGUACAAUGGGGGUACCCGGGUUGUCGCUGACUUUUUUGUCGUGCACGCCCGAGUGCUCUCACAUACAAAUAUAUCCAUCUCACCCCUUUGUGCAUCACCGCGUGGGUGUCCCCCCUUCUUCGGAGGGGGGUGCUCACGUUUUUAACAUCAAACACCCUAGUGUAGAAUGUUCUUUGCGCGAUCGCGCGCGAAUCAAUA